rnacentral:rRNA from 1 species
UACGUAGGGUGCAAGCGUUGUCCGGAAUUAUUGGGCGUAAAGAGCUCGUAGGCGGUCUGUCGCGUCGGCUGUGAAAACUCGGGGCUCAACCCCGAGCCUGCUUCUGAUACGGGCAGACUAGAGGUAUGCAGGGGAGAACGGAAUUCCUGGUGUAGCGGUGAAAUGCGCAGAUAUCAGGAGGAACACCGGUGGCGAAGGCGGUUCUCUGGGCAUUACCUGACGCUGAGGAGCGAAAGUGUGGGGAGCGAACAGG